rnacentral:rRNA from 1 species
GAUGAACGCUGUCGGCGUGCCUAAUACAUGCAAGUCUAGCGUCCAGUUUAGGCGCUUGCUCCUCUGUCGUUAGCUGCGGACGGGUGAGUACCACGUGGCUAACCUACCUAUAAGACUGCGAUAACUUCGGGAAACCGGCGCUAAUACCGGAUAAUAUAUUGAACCGCAUGGUUCAAUAGUGAAAGACGGUUUUGCUGUCACUUAUAGAUGGAUCCGCGCCGCAUUAGCUAGUUGGUAAGGUAACGGCUUACCAAGGCAACGAUGCGUAGCCGACCUGAGAGGGUGAUAGGCCACACUGGAACUGAGACACGGUCCAGACUCCUACGGGAGGCAACAGUAGGGAAUCUUCCGCAAAGGGCGAAAGCCUGACGGAGCAACGCCGCGUGAGUGAUGAAGGGCUUCGGAUCGUAAAACUCUGUUAGUAGGGAAGAACAAAUGUGUAAGUAAAUAUGCACGUCUUGACGGUACCUAAUCAGAAAGCCAGGGAUAACUACGUG